UUGUGGUUAAAAAGCUCGUAGUUGGAUCUCAACAGCCUUGAAGCGGUCAACUUUGUAGUUUUACUGCUUUAUAGGCUGUGCUUUUGCUGGAGGUUUAGGGGUGCUCUUGAUCGAGUGUCUCUGGAUGCCAGCAGGUUUACUUUGAAAAAAUUAGAGUGCUCAAAGCAGGCUAAAAUGCCUGAAUAUUCGUGCAUGGAAUAAUAGAAUAGGAUGUCGAUCCUAUUUUGUUGGUUUUCGGGACUCGACAUAAUGAUAAAUAGGGACAGUCGGGGGCAUUUGUAUUCAAACGACAGAGGUGAAAUUCUUGGACCGUUUGAAGACAAACUACUGCGAAAGCAUUUGCCAAGAAUGUUUUCAUUAAUCAAGAACGAAAGUUAGAGGUUCGAAGGCGAUUAGAUACCGCCCUAGUUCUAACCAUAAACGAUGCCAGCUAGCGAUCUGCCUGCGUUUUUACUGUAGACUGGGCAGGAAGCUUCCGGGAAACCAAAGCAUUUGGGUUCCAGGGGAAGUAUGGUUGCAAAGCUGAAACUUAAAGGAAUUGACGGAAGGGCACCACCAGGAGUGGAGCCUGUGGCUUAAUUUGACUCAACACGGGAAAUCUCACCA
rnacentral:rRNA from 1 species